ensembl:lncRNA
CCUCAGACAGGCUGGACAACCACGUUGCAUUUCAGUUUCUGAUGUCAUUCCAGACGUGGAAAAACUGUGAAAGAACCCGAGGCUGAGUCACACAAGUUCUUUUCAUGGAUUUUAAUAUCACAAAUGAGUUUCAGGCACAGCGUAACCUUGACAUUUAAAGCGAUCACUUUACACAUUUAAAAGCCUGAUUAUAUUAGUUCCCUUUAAGGGUAGACAUCACAGAGAUAGAGAUAAAGAAAGUGGACGCUAUGACUAGAAAAGAAUAUUUACAAAUCUGUGAUACUAGACUCUUUGGAACAGUUCACUGAACAAUACAAAAUACAUUUAAUUCAGUAAGGAAAUGCAUUAUUUAAUGUAAGGCAUUGAUCAAAAGCCUUACAGGCUGCAAUGGUUUUUUUUUUUUUUUUUAAUACAUUCAUUCAUUGACACUGGAUUUAAGCUGCAAAUGGCUACAAGUGCGAUGAGCAUAGAGUCAACUCCCCUCUGUUAAUCAGCAACUAUGGCUCACUGUCCACUGCAGUGGGACUGUUUGUAGAAUGAGACGUACCCUACAUAACAAAGUGAAAUAACAGGCUUAUAGGCCAACUUAUUUCAUAAUAGCUCGCUCUGUGGGAAAAAAAAGAAGAAGAAAAGAAAUGCUAUUGUUUUUUCCCCAAAUGUGUAGGGUAAUUCACAAGUUAUUUAAUUAAUAUACAUUUUGUGUUCCCACAUGUCAACCUAUUAUUGGCUAAAAAAAAUGUCCAAUUACAGUUUUUCUCGAUUGCUUUGGCACAUUUUUCCAAUCACUGUUUACUUUUUCAAAACAGCUCACACACAGCCCAUAACAGAAGAUGAAAUAACCAAAACACUAUUUGAUGUUUGCAGAAUGACACCACCUUCUCAAAACUUAUCACACACCCAUCAAAACCAAACAUUUCCAUCAAAACCUACAAUUUGUGCUCAAUUGAAAAUGUACGUUUUCUCAUUUAUUUAACAAUGGAUAACAAAAUUCAAACUACAGCUAUCAAUAUCAACCUCUGAAUCCAUCACUUCAACUUUUGUGCAACACCCUCACAGCAUUGACUAUUUUACCACUGACAACAUACUACAAUUUGGGUUUUGUACUGAGCACUCUUGACA